rnacentral:rRNA from 1 species
GAUGAACGCUGGCGGCGUGCUUAACACAUGCAAGUCGAACGAUGAUGCCCAGCUUGCUGGGUGGAUUAGUGGCGAACGGGUGAGUAACACGUGAGUAACCUGCCCUUGACUCUGGGAUAAGCCUGGGAAACUGGGUCUAAUACCGGAUACGACCAUCUGGCGCAUGUCAUGGUGGUGGAAAGCUUUUGUGGUUUUGGAUGGACUCGCGGCCUAUCAGCUUGUUGGUGGGGUAAUGGCCUACCAAGGCGACGACGGGUAGCCGGCCUGAGAGGGUGACCGGCCACACUGGGACUGAGACACGGCCCAGACUCCUACGGGAGGCAACAGUGGGGAAUAUUGCACAAUGGGCGCAAGCCUGAUGCAGCGACGCCGCGUGAGGGAUGACGGCCUUCGGGUUGUAAACCUCUUUCAGUAGGGAAGAAGCGAAAGUGACGGUACCUGCAGAAGAAGCGCCGGCUAACUACGU